rnacentral:lncRNA from 1 species
GCUUUGAAGUGGUUUCGGCCCACUUACUCUAAAUCUGCAGGACUGAGAAGUUCUUCUGUGCCCAGAUGUACUCAUGGAGCAAGCAGCAGAAUGAAACUUUCCUUCCCAAGUGGGUCAAGCUUUUUUCUGUCCAUUCCACCUCUCUCUAAUCUCUCCCUCUCCUCACCUGGAGUCUUAGAGUCAAUUUAAAACUGGCAGGGGCUUUGGAGAUCAUGGAGUCUAACCCUCUCAUUUUACAGAUGAAGAAACUGAAGCCCAAAGAAGGUAGUAACUUGCCCAAGGGCACACAGAAAUAUGAAGGAAAAUAUGAAGCACCUCAUUCACAAACAGAAGAUUUGGAAAAUUGUUCCAGGAGAGACAACUUAAGAAUCAUGGGUCUACCAGAAGACCAUGACAAAAAAAAAAAAAAAGCCUGGACAUCAUACUACAGGAAAUUAUCCAAGAAAACUGCCCUGUUUCUAAAACAAGAGGGAAAAGUGGAGAUUGAAAGAAUACACAGAUCAUUUCCUGAAUUUAAUCCCCAACUGACAACACCAAGAAAUGUUAUAGCCAAAUUCAAGAUCUAUCAGACCAAGGAAAAAAUAUUACAAGCUGCUAAGAAGUACUCAGUCAGAUACCAUGGAACCACAGUGAGGAUAACACAGGAUCUGGCUGCAUCUACACUGAAGAACUAAGAGGCAUAGAAUAUGAUAUUCUGGAAAGCAAGGGAACUAGGUCUACAACCAAGAAUCAAUUACCCAACAAAACUGACUAUAUUUUUACAUGGAAGAGUAUGGUCAUUUGACAAAAUAGAAGAAUUCCAAACAUUUGUAAAGAAAAGACCAGACCUGAACAGAAAAUUUAAUGCCUAAGCACAGAAUUCAAGAGAAUCAUCAAAAGGUAAUUAAGGAAGAGGGAAAAAAAGAAAAACAAAACAAAAACAAAACAAAACAAAACCCCCUUUUUUUUAAGAGACCCAAUAAUAUAAAAUGAUAUGUAUCCCUAUAAGAAAAGAGGUCUUUGG